rnacentral:rRNA from 1 species
GACGAACGCUGGCGGCGUGCUUAACACAUGCAAGUCGAGCGGAAAGGCCCUUCGGGGUACUCGAGCGGCGAACGGGUGAGUAACACGUGCGUAACCUGCCCCUGGCUCCGGGAUAAGCCUAGGAAACUGGGUCUAAUACCGGAUGUGACCACUUCCCGCAUGGGAUGGUGGUGGAAAGAUUUUUGGGCUGGGGAUGGGCUCGCGGCCUAUCAGCUUGUUGGUGGGGUAGUGGCCUACCAAGGCGACGACGGGUAGCCGGCCUGAGAGGGCGACCGGCCACACUGGGACUGAGACACGGCCCAGACUCCUACGGGAGGCAGCAGUGGGGAAUAUUGCGCAAUGGGCGAAAGCCUGACGCAGCGACGCCGCGUGGGGGAUGAAGGCCUUCGGGUUGUAAACCUCUUUCAGCACCGACGAACACAGACGGUAGGUGCAGAAGAAGCGCCGGCUAACUACGUGCCAGCAGCCGCCGUAA